rnacentral:lncRNA from 1 species
UUGACUAUUUGCAUUUAUUCUUCUGAGAAAUGUCUAUUUAGAUCAUUUGCACAUUUAUUGAUUCAGAUAUUUGGUAGUGUUUUUUGUUUAAGUUUUAGGGGUUCUUUAUAUAUUUUGAAUAUUAAUACUGUGUCAGAGGAGUAACUGACAAAUGUUCUUUUAUAUAUCUCCCACAUACUUUUGAUUUGUUAAUCAAAAGUUAUAUGUUGGAUAGUUAAUGAUUAAUGACAAAUUUUUAAAACUACAAUUACUUUAUGUAAGCUGAAUUUGAAGUAUUUCAACAGCACUUUAAAUGAUUGAAAGCUUGUUAUUGUCCUAGUGAAAACACAAGAAAACCUAAACCUGCAUGAAUUUUAAGCUAGGGAAGAAUUUUCAAAGACUAUUCAGAUGGUUUGAACACAUACCAUGGUAGUGCCUAACAACAACAACAACAAAAAAAGACAUAAAAUAUUAUAAAACAUCCCAAACCAGAAAGCAAUGAAAACAUUCAAUUUUUAUUUCAAAAAUAUUUUCAUAUACUAUAGAAAAUUUAAAACAUGAAAGCAUUCCUUAUUUCAAUCCUCCCACUUCCAUGGUCUUUCUCAUCUGAGUUAAUGCAACUCCAAACUUCUAGAUGCUCGUGUCAAAAAAUCUAAAAUAACUUUUGACUUCUCUCUUUCUCAUCUUUCCAUUAUCAAAUUUAUUUGAUGCUACCUUUGAAAUAUCCAGGCAUCAAUGUUUUCCCACCAUAUCCACUGUGAGUCACUGACUUCAAACUUUUUUUAAUUUGCAAUGUACUUAUAAUUUGGUUCUGUCAAAUAUUCAUGUGAUUGUGUCACUUCCCUGCACCUAAUCUUCCAAUGAUUUUUCAUUUCUCCUCAGAGACCUUUAAGGUACUUCAUGAUGACAGCCCUCUCCAUAGACCCUCAGGUUCCUUAGAUACAAACUUUCUCUCCUCUCUCUCUCUCUCUCUCUCUCACACACACACACACACACACACACACACAUACACCUUACUGUAUUCUUCUCUCUUCUCACUUUUUACUUUCUCUACCAGGUUUCUAAAAGACUUUCUGCUUUAGUGUAUUUUUCCCUCUACCUGACAAAGCUCUCUUUCUCACUUUCUUGAGAUCUCUAUUCAAAAAUCACCUCAUUAGUAAGAUAUACUGUUGUCCUCCUUCCCACCCUAUCCCCUUUAACUCUGACAAGCUAUAAGUUUAAUUUUCUCUUCUAUCUGCCCUUCCACCUCUCCCAUCACACACUCUAGAAUAUGUUAUUUGCCU